CCGCAACUGACGCUAAAGCUCGAAGGUGCGGGUAUCGAACAGGAUUAGAUACCCUGGUAGUCCGCACGGUAAACGAUGGAUGCCCGCUGUAUGCGAUACACUGUAUGCGGCCAAGCGAAAGCGUUAAGCAUCCCACCUGGGGAGUACGCCGGCAACGGUGAAACUCAAAGGAAUUGACGGGGGCCCGCACAAGCGGAGGAACAUGUGGUUUAAUUCGAUGAUACGCGAGGAACCUUACCCGGGCUUGAACUGCAGGUGAACGAUCCAGAGAUGGUGAGGUCCUUCGGGACACCUGUGGAGGUGCUGCAUGGUUGUCGUCAGCUCGUGCCGUGAGGUGUCGGCUUAAGUGCCAUAACGAGCGCAACCCCUCUUUUCAGUUGCCAUCGGGUAAUGCCGGGCACUCUGGAGACACUGCCACCGUAAGGUGUGAGGAAGGUGGGGAUGACGUCAAAUCAGCACGGCCCUUACGUCCGGGGCUACACACGUGUUACAAUGGGUGGUACAGAGAGCCGGGUUUGCGCAAGCACGCUCCAAUCUUGAAAGCCAUCCUCAGUUCGGAUUGGGGUCUGCAACCCGACCCCAUGAAGCUGGAUUCGCUAG
rnacentral:rRNA from 1 species